UACGUAGGGCGCAAGCGUUGUCCGGAAUUAUUGGGCGUAAAGAGCUCGUAGGCGGUUUGUCGCGUCUGCUGUGAAAACCUAAGGCUCAACCUUGGGCUUGCAGUGGGUACGGGCAGACUAGAGUGCGGUAGGGGAGAUCGGAAUUCCUGGUGUAGCGGUGAAAUGCGCAGAUAUCGAGAGGAACACCUGCGGCGAAGGCGGGUUGCUGGGCUGACACUGACGCUGAGGCGCGAAAGCUAGGGGAGCGAACGGG
rnacentral:rRNA from 1 species